rnacentral:rRNA from 1 species
AUUGAACGCUGGCGGCAGGCCUAACACAUGCAAGUCGAACGAGUGGCGGACGGGUGAGUAAUGUAUGGGAAACUGCCCGAUGGCGGGGGAUAACUACUCGAAACGGUAGCUAAUACCGCAUACCAUCGGAUGUGCCCAUAUGGGAUUAGCUAGUUGGUGGGGUAAAGGCUCACCUAGGCGACGAUCCCUAGCUGGUCUGAGAGGAUGACCAGCCACACUGGGACUGAGACACGGUCCAGACUCCUACGGGAGGCAGCAGUGGGGAAUAUUGCACAAUGGGGGAAAGCCUGAUGCAGCCAUGCCGCGUGUAUGAAGAAGGCCUUCGGGUUGUAAAGUACUUUAAGCGGGGAGGCGUUACCCGCAGAAGAAGCACCGGCUAACUCCGUGCCAGCAGCCGCGGUAAUAC